GACGAACGCUGGCGGCGUGCUUAACACAUGCAAGUCGAACGGAAAGGCCCUGCUUGCAGGGUACUCGAGUGGCGAACGGGUGAGUAACACGUGGGUGAUCUGCCCUGCACUUCGGGAUAAGCCUGGGAAACUGGGUCUAAUACCGGAUAGGAGCCAUUUUUAGUGUGAUGGUUGGAAAGUUUUUUCGGUGUAGGAUGAGCUCGCGGCCUAUCAGCUUGUUGGUGGGGUAAUGGCCUACCAAGGCGGCGACGGGUAGCCGGCCUGAGAGGGUGGACGGCCACAUUGGGACUGAGAUGCGGCCCAGACUCCUACGGGAGGCAGCAGUGGGGAAGAUUGCACAAUGGGCGCAAGCCUGAUGCAGCGACGCCGCGUGGGGGAUGACGGCCUUCGGGUUGUAAACUCCUUUCGCUAGGGACGAAGCUUUUUGUGACGGUACCUAGAUAAGAAGCACCGGCUAACUACGUG
rnacentral:rRNA from 1 species